UAGGGAAUCUUCGGCAAUGGGGGGAACCCUGACCGAGCAACGCCGCGUGAGUGAAGAAGGUUUUCGGAUCGUAAAGCUCUGUUGUUAAGGAAGAACGAGUGUGAGAAUGGAAAGUUCAUACUGUGACGGUACUUAACCAGAAAGGGACGGCUAACUACGUGCCAGCAGCCGCGGUAAUACGUAGGUCCCGAGCGUUGUCCGGAUUUAUUGGGCGUAAAGCGAGCGCAGGCGGUUAGAUAAGUCUGAAGUUAAAGGCAGUGGCUCAACCAUUGUAGGCUUUGGAAACUGUUUAACUUGAGUGCAGAAGGGGAGAGUGGAAUUCCAUGUGUAGCGGUGAAAUGCGUAGAUAUAUGGAGGAACACCGGUGGCGAAAGCGGCUCUCUGGUCUGUAACUGACGCUGAGGCUCGAAAGCGUGGGGAGCGAACAGGAUUAGAUACCCUGGUAGUCCACGCCGUACGAUGAGUGCUAGGUGUUAGGUCCUUUCCGGGACUUAGUGCCGCAGCUAACGCAUUAAGCACUCCCGCCUGGGGAGUACGACCGCAAGGUU
rnacentral:rRNA from 1 species